CAGGCCGGCCAAGACAGGAGG
rnacentral:miRNA from 1 species